CUCGCCACUGCUUUACUCACUCCGAGGAACGAGUCCGUUUCCAUGCCGGCUCCUCGGGAAGCCGUGAGCAGCCAGCUCGCCCCGGGCCCCGCACCCAGGCGGGGCGGAGCUGCCCCGCCCGGCUCAAGUGGCCGCAGGGCAGCAUUCCUAGAGUGUCAUCUACAAUGGAGCUGUGAUGGAAGUGCUCUGGGAUCGUACUGCAGUCGGGAUUAGCAAUACUUCAGGCUGCUGCAGUGUUGUGCUUCUUAAUGCAAGGAUGUAUUUUCCAGACCCAGCAUCUGAGAAACCAUGAGCAAGAAGAGAACUGGGCUAGAAGAGAACUGUUGCUACAACCUAACAGAGAAGCUGGGGUGACACAAAAAAUUAAAUGCAUUCCCAUCCACUAGAAAGGAUUUCAAGUUACAGGUCAGAAACAAAGCCCUCUACUCUGAUGUCCCAAUCCCUGGAGAAGGUGAUGCGACUACAGACUCACAGUUUUCAUCCACAAAGGCAGCUCUCAGUUCAGCAUCAGAGGCAGCUGCCUGGGCAGGGUGAAGCUGAAGCAUUGCCCUGGGAAAAGCAGGACCAUCAAGACACUGUUCCCUGUCCAUGUCUUUCCUGUGUGCAUCUUCUAGCUGGGUGGCACAUGAUGGGGAGGAGGAGGAAGGACUCUUUUUGUGCUUAAAUUAAUCACUUUGAUGAAGCUGAGGGAGUGAGUCAUGUGUCCUUCAGCACCAUAAAUAGCAUCCCACUUUCUUCCUGUGAUCACCUGUGAAAAUUCGGCUCCCAUGUCCUUCGGGACAGAUUUCCAGUACUGGGCAAAGGUUGGAGGUAACAAUGUCUGGGUCUUUAAGCCAUCCAGACUUUAACUCCUGUGGUUCUCAUGUUGGUUAAGCCUUGGUGACCUUGGGUUGAUAAUGGAUUGCUGGGAAAUAACUGAAUAUUCUUCUAAAGGUGGUGAGUUCUUUUCCCCCCGUGUAUUGCUGAUUUGUACUGUCAACCAUAACCUGCCAUGGAGCAAGACCUUUUAAAGUCCAUGCUUCAGCAACAAUGACUCACAAGCUGAUACAGAUCAGAUAAGCUGCAUCCUCAGUGCAGACCAAUCUUGUUCUGUGCCCUGCAGAGCUGUGUCUGUCACAGUUUCAUAGACUUGGUUCUUCUUUUUGGCCUCUGCCUGCAUUUCACAUCUAUUGGGGCACAAUAGGAAAAGCAGGCAAGGCUGGAUGUCUCGGGCAGUGCAGACAUGAUCUGCAGUAAAUGUUCAUCUUCCAACAGAACUUCACUCUGCAAACAGCACAAGUCAUCCAUGACAAAGGAUUUAGAUGCAGGGCUGGUAGAAGCUGAGCUCAGGAUGUCAGUCGGGGUCAAACAUUGCUAAUAUUAGAUGCCAAAAUCUACAACAGAAAAAUUAUAUCGGUUUCCCAAGGGGACAGGUAACCUAAGUACUUCAUCUCUUAUUACAUUUACUUAUUUUAUUGCAGGGUAACAAAGCACAAUGUUGACCUCCCAUACUACCACAGGGCAGUAAUUAAUAGCACAGUCAUUUAUAAAGUACUUGAUACAUAUUAUUGGGCCUUUUUUGUUUUCCUAUCCACAUCUCCUCAAUCCCACUGUCCAUUGGUUGUUUUCCACUGGUACUUGUGUCAGGAAUGCAGAGGUGAAAACUUGCACAAGGGCUGCAGCUACCAGGGUAGUCCCACUCCUGCACACCCAGGAUAGCAGUUUUGCUGGAAGGGUUCAUACAAACAUUCCAGUUAACUUUUCCCACCAUGAGUUUAUGUUAUGGGGUUUUUUUGCCCAAGCUAAUUAAUUGGUAUUCAAACAUACACUAAAUAAACCCAUCUUAAAACUCUAUCCUAGUAUAAUAAAUACCCUUCAAGUUGUCACAUAGCAUUUUUAAUUAGAGUGUGUGCUAUCACUGUGUAGAACAUGCAGCCUGCAAAAUUGUCUGGCCAUAAAAGCAGAUUUGCCAAGCUCCAAAAUGUUAACAAACCACCUUCCACUAAAAGCAGUGGUAAGAAGCCAUUCCAAUGCACUGGGAGCUCAGCUGUCUGCAUGAGUGUCACAAGCAAGACACAGAGAAGCUCUAGCAGUGACCAAACCCCACCUGACUGUAGUAGUUUUCAUGUUUCAUUUUCCAUGGCAAUUUUCUUUCUCUUGAACUGCAGAUGCAGUAAGACUCUUGGAACCACACCAUGCCUUACCAGGGAAAAAAUCCAUUGCCUCUUACAAAAAAAAAAAAAAUCCUACACAAGACUUAAGUGUGAAGACUGUUUUCACAAUUGGCUUUUCCAUGAACUAGGGUGUUCCUGAUUGACAGGUUUUUCUGUAAAAACAAAGCUGAAAUUUUUUCUUUCAGUUAUAUACCUCCAUGUCUCGUUUACCUGAAAUCAUCAUGGCAGAGGCAACUAAUCAAUUUAUAUUAAUAAAGCUGAGUAAUACAGGAGCAUACAAACACAUUUUUUUACAGCACACAUGUUAGAAGCUACAGGAAGCAAGGACAUUUGUGGCAAGUUGAAAUGCAAGUUUUUCCUGUUCCCUGGUUACAAGUGAAGAACAUGAUGUCACACCCAUUGCUCAUUGUUGCACUUACUGACUUUUCUAUAUGAACAGCUGUGCUAGAAAGAAUUUCACUAAGUUCAUGGGUGUGAUAAGAACCAUCAACUAAAAAUUCAGACAUUGCUCUAAAUGUAUUUGAACUAUUUCUGAUCCUGAAAUGGUCCUCAGGUCCUCUGAUGUAGACAAAACUUUGUAUCAGCCUACAGGGUUUGACCCAUAUUUUCAGUCUCUGCACCAUAUUUAAAGGAAGGUCAGGGCUCAGAUAGUGGGGAAAGGAGGUUAACACAAAACUAAUCAAUUGAUGGUUUACAGGAAAUAGAACCUGGCACCUAGGAGAGUUAUUUCCUUUUUGGUAUGUUUUUUUUACUUGUUAGGUUUGGGAUUGGGGUUUUUAUAAGAGGAAGGGAAUUUUUUUUUAGGGAAAUGAUUUAUGCAGUUGCCUAAUCUGGUACAGUUUUUCUUCCUAUUUUCUUACCCACAAUUAUUUUUUAAACCACAAGCUGAAUUGAUGCAAAAUCUUAUCAACUAUAUCAUAAGUUUCUUAAAAACAGCCUCUCUUCAACAUUUUGAUAAGCUGACUAACAGACCCUUGGGUUUUAGGCCAAAGGAAAAGGAAUGGACAUUGCUUGCCUCUUGUGGAGGUCACAUAGAAUCCUAGAAUCAUUAAAGUUGGGGAAGUGGUCUCUAAGAUCAUUGAGUCCAACCUUUAGCCCAGCAAUACCAUCUUUACCUCUAAACCAUGUCCCCAAGUGCCACAUCCACAGACCAAGAGGGCAGAAGGUUCCAGAAAGGGGAUUUUUUUCACUUUCUUACUACUGCCUUAGGUAGAGGGGGCUGAUAGCUUUGCUGAGGGCUGUACACCGCAGGGUGUAUUUGCUGCUGGUGCCCUGUCUGAGAGGGUCCUGGGGAUUCACCUUUAAACAUCUGUAGCCCGUUAUAUCUAAAACCCUGCUGCAUCUCCUCUUGUAGUUGUGUUGCAGCACCAAGUGGACCAAGCCCUGAGCAGCCAUCCCAUCCCAUCCCAUCCCAUCCCAUCCCAUCCCAUCCCAUCCCAUCCCAUCCCAUCCCAUCCCAUCCCAUCCCAUCCCAUCCCAUCCCAUCCCAUCCCAUCCCAUCCCACUCCUGCCUGGCUUUGGCAGGAGGUUGAAAAGGAGACUCCUGCAAGGGCUCUUACAGCCCCAGCAGUGCUCUGAGGCUGCAGCCACGUUCCAGGCCAGGAGAUGUGACCAGAAAAACAGAAUUAGAAGGGCAAACACAGUUAGAAUCAAACAGUCCUAGACUUGUAGGACAUGCAGUUAGCCAGACUAACAUGAGUUUUUAAUUUGGGUAUCUUUUAAGCAGAUAGGGUGUAAGCUUCCAUACAUCUGCUUCUCCUUCCAUGGUAUCUUUUCUUUCUUCCCAACUGCUUCUGGAUACAAGCUAACAACCCUCUGAAGUCAACAGGGGGAAAGGAGCACAUCUAGCAUGCCCACCAUGUAAUCUUCUUCAGAUUGGCUCAAACAGAGACAUACUGCUACCAAAGCUUUCUGGUUGAUUUCUACCUCCUUACUAAGGACACCACAUUACUAAAGAUUCACAUUUCAGGUGCCCUUAUUUUUUCAGUGGUACGACCAUAGUCUCCAACCCCCUUUUUCUUCCUGCUGCUUGUCCCUUUCCUUUUCAUUGAUGAUCAUCUCAGUCAUCUUUCAUAACACCUGCUUUCCUUCAUACAGUCAACCAAGGGAUGCAAAAGCUCAGCCUCAUACAUGUCAGGUUGCUCCUUUCCAAACCUGCUCUCUCCCAGUGGAUCCUGUGAUCUGCAAGGACCAUGCCUACCACUUGGGGAUCACAGCUGUCUCUCAGAGUGUUCCAGACCUGUCUCAGGCACACAGAUCUCUGUGCUUCUCAUUCCUGUACAAGGGGCUUGAGCAGGUCCCCCAGUUUGGACAACCACAAGAGAAGAACCUCAGGACAGAGGCAGCCAAAGACAUUGAAAUUUUUUUUGCCUGUGGGAGGAAGUAUGAUAAAUUUAAAACAGUCACCCACAGUGGCUCACAUGAGCACUGUAAGGCAACUGUGAGGAAAAGAGGUCACAAGAUACCACCAUGCAAGAGCCAAAAGUUAGCAGCUGGAGAGCAAGUGGGCAGCUAAAAGGGGAACACAGUUCUGCUGUCCCUGCAUUUAUAUUUUACCCACUAGGUGUACUGCUGAGAAAGGAAAGUGCUGGUGCCACAUUCCUAGUAUUACAGCUUGAAAAGAGAUGGUGAGAUUAUUUAGUUAAAGCUAAUAAAUCACUGCAGGGCUGGGUGAAGGGGAAAACAAUGGUCCUAAAAGGAUAAAAAAUUUUCUGAGAGCAUAUCAGGUAUCAGAACACGUGAAACUCACUCUUCACCCAAGAGACCUCAGCUAUUGUGUAAGCAAAAAAUCCCCAAAUGAUUUCAGCCUUGCAACUAUUAGCACGAGGUUGAGAAAUGCAAGUUUGUUUGCUCUUACGGUCUCAACUCCCUUUGGUCUCACAGAGUUUAGAAGAGGGCAAUUUAAAGGAAAUAUAGAAUACAACUGUGCAAGAACAUUUAUGCAGAAGUCUAUGUUCUUUUUCAUUGCCAUGCUUACUGGAGUGUGACACCCUAGAGAACCAAAACCAGGGAUAAACUUGUGUCAAAAUGCUGGUGUACAGCAGGAGAGUGGUGUGCUUGCAGCUUGCCUGUGCUCGGUGUGGACUCUGUGUACCACCCAGAUUCACCCUGAUGGCAAGCAUUGGUGGUGAGGAUGUGGUUCUUCCCUCAGGUCCUCCUGUGUGGGCUUUCUACCAGUGUUUUCAAAAAGAAACCAAGCAACAGUGAUGCAGACAGACAGACAGACAGACAUACAGAGCUGCUAUCUUAAUGUCACGCGUUAGAGUAACCACCCCAGCCACAGAAGUCCCCAGCUUGUGCAAGACCUUGGCAUGAUAAUUGUGGCUAAGAGAAGUAUUUGCACAAUCUCCAGUUACUAUUUAAUCCAACACCUAGGGCAAAAUGUCAGGCUAUUGUCUUGCAAAAGUGCAGAGUGAUGUCAAGGGCUGUAAAAUUUCUUGUACAAGCUUUCUCAAUUCAGGCUCAGAAAAAUACAAAUAAAAACAUGACUCAUAUUCUGACAGAGCAGCUGAGGCUCAGCCUCCUCUUUGAGCAGCACCUGAGCAGGCAUGUACCUUCAUAUUCCUGUUCCUCUCAGCUCAAUUAGGCAGGUCUCCUUCCAAAACAAAAGCCAACCAUUUUGCUCACUAUGUAACAAACAAGGGCUGGGGAACUUCUUUCUUUCUCCACUCUACUUUAAAAUUUAUUUCCAAAGGUUAGCCCACAGGCAACAGGCAUAGGUUCACUUUGAAAUGUGUGCAGACUGACAGGAGUACUAACAAAGUACGGAUUCAUGGAUUUUCCUACAGUUAUUCAGUAAGCCUAGAAGUCUCUAGGGAAUUUCUUAAAUACACACGAGUCAUGCAGGUGCCCCCAGAAAACUGGAAAGGAGUACAGAUAUCUCCUAGACAGUAAAUUCUGAGGUAUUUAGUCCUUGUGUGGGCAAACAGUAAAGGAAAGUUCCUUGUACUAAGACAGCCAUAGCUCACAUAACCAUGUCCCACAUAACCAUGUCCCCAGGUCAUUCCUCCCUGCACACAGUCUUCAGUUUCCUGAGAGUAUUAUGUUCCUUAGCAGUGUUUUGAUUGCUUUACCCAUCAGUUCUUUGUAUCACCUGGAGUUUCAUCUGAACCAAACCUGGCUUGCCACCUGGAAGUCAUUUCCAUCAGAGGAGGAUCAGAGCCACAGAGCAGGGACUACAGUAGAGAGCAAUUUCUAGAGAGUAAGUAAUUCCAUCCCAAACUAAACUCAGAGGGACAACAGCCUUGAAAAUGCCAUUUCUCUCCACCAGCUUCCUUUAAUGCUUUUGGCAACUAGCACCCCAUCUCCAGGAGAGAUGCAGCAUUAAUGGGAGCUACUUGGUCACAGUUGCUUCAGGGGUUGCAGAGAAGGUCACUGUCACAGGCCAACAGUGCAUAAACAGACCUGCCUGAUGGUUCCUGUUGGCUCAGGGUGAUGUGGCAGUACAGAGCAGGCUGGAGUCAGGCAGGGGCACACAGUCCAUCCAAGCCAGAGCACCUGACAGAGACAUUGCACACAUCUCAGCCAUAUGUUGCCACAGAAGGACAGACAGCCAAUACCUGGUCUAACUCAGAGCCUGCAGUUACAAAAGAAAUCAUCCAACUCUUACAGCUUAUUUAAAACAUAAGAUUGAGGGUUUCUUUAGGAAAUCAGCACUGUGUGGAUUGGUUAAAGAGUCAUAGUGCUAGAUUCAAUGUAGCAUUAGAAUGUAACUUCAUCGUGAGCUGAUUCUGCCUCAGAUCUUGUCUCAGAUGUAUUAUCUAUUUUCUGGAGUAUCAAAUUCAGCAUUUAAAGGAGUUUCAGUAAGAAAGGAUGAUGCCAGCAGAGGUCAGUGCAUCACCAUGCUCAACCUCUUUUAUCUUAUCUGGUAAAAAGAAGUUCAACUUGCAGAUUAUGAAGCUUUUUUAAGGGGGAAGUGUUUUAAAAAUAUUUAUAAGUAACAUAUUUGAAGAGGAAUCAUCCCAGUCACUAGCUCAUCCUGAGAAUUAUGAUAGAGGAAGAAUGAACAACAAAAAGCCCCUACUUUAAAAAAAAGAAAGAACAUUUAUGAAUCUAGCACUUACUGACAUCAGUUUUUCCCUCACCCCUCAACUACACAAACACUUAAAGCAGAUGCUGAAAAUAAAUGAGAAGUUUAUAAAAUUAUCCUCUGUGGUUUUAAGUAUAAGAAAAGUCACUAAGAUGACAGGAAAUCUCCCUUAUGAACUACAGUUCACCCUAAGACACUGUUUUUGCAUCAACAAGCAACUGUAGAUGGAAAUGAGUAGUUGAAAUGGAUAAAACCACUUGUUAAACAGAAGGUUUGCCAUCUGCCCUGUUGGGAAGUCCCUAGUGACAGAGUGUAGAAAAUAGCUACUUGUUUUCAGUGACCUGCUUCUUAUGGAAAACCAAGAGCAAAUUCCUAGGAUAGCCACCCUAAAACCACCCUGGCAGCUUGGAUGCCUGCAUGCCAAGCAGAGAUGACCUGCACUGAAGAAGUGGUAAGGAGCUGACUCAUGUUACUCCCACUCACUCUUGUGAAAGUGGAUGCAAGCAGACCUCAUUGGCAUUGGCAGAGAGUGGGAGAGUGCAGCAAUAUCAGCAGCAGCCCAAGCAGGAAGGAUGGAAUCUGAAGGGUUUACUGUCAACUUUCCUGGGCACUAACCUUUACCUUCCCCUCUCUCAGCAGUUACUCCCACUAAUUCCAAUUACUGUAGACCCCAUGUCACCAAAACCCACCAGGUGUCAGUGAAGUAGGAGGCAGCAGAUGGGGCUCAGCUGGGGCUCUUCAAAUCUGCUAAAGAGAUAUUAAACAAUCUGGUGUGUGCAUCAGUUACCCAAGAGUGUUGAGAUGAUAAUGCUGAUGUCUCUCCAGCUCUUCCAGGAAGAUGGUCCUUGUGUAUCUGUACAAAGUUUCCUCUAAAAGGCUAUGCUCUGGGAAGUUGUGAUGAUAGGACAAGAAGUAAGGGGUACAAAUUGAAAGAGGUACAAAUUAGGUUAGAUAUUAAGAAGGAAUUCUUUACCAUGAGCAUGGUGAGACCCUGGAACAGAUUGCCCAGGGAGGCUGUGAAUGCCCCAACACUGUUAGUCCUCAAGUCCAGGUUGGAUAAAGCCUUGUGCAACCUGGUCUAAUGGAAGGUGUCCCUGCCCAUGGCAGGAUGGGGUCAGAUUAGAUGAGUUUUAUGGUCCCUUCUAGCCAUUACCAUUCUGUGGUUUUGUGAUAAGUGGUAGAUGCCCCAUCUGUCGCAGUGUUCAAGGCCAGGCUGGGUGGAACUUGGAGUAACCUGGUCUACUGGGAAGUGUCCCUUCUCAUGGUAGAGGAGCCAGAACCAGAUGAUCUUUAAGAUCCUUUUCAACCCAAACCCUUUAAUGAUUCUCUUAUCAAGUGUCCUUGGUAUCCUUUACACCCCACUCUCACACCAGCAGUGCAAUGGAUAUAACAAGCUGCAGAGAGGGUUAUUAAUUGUGAAAAAGAAAGCUCUUAUCAAAUGAGGGGAAACAAAUUGAGCCAUGUCAGGCUCCAUCAUCCCUUAACAGAAAUUAUUCCUAUGCCAAACUACUUAAAUUUCCUUCUGAGAACUGAGCUUGGAGCAGCCCUCCAGGUGCUGGGAAAGUAGAAGUGACCACUGCCACUACACAGCCUCACUGCCCAAAGGCACAAGCCUAUGACAUCACUCAGUGAGCUCCCAGGCAACAUUUUCACCUUUUGACCAGUACUACCAACAUUUGAGGGACAAGUCUAGGUCACCAGAAGGGGGAUUCAGCUCAAUAAGCUUCACAGAUACCUGCAGCAGAGACAUCUACUGAUGCACUACUCAGCUAAGCACAACACAGCUAAGACUCCUUUUGCAAUCAAAAGGAGUAAUUAAUCAAAACUGUGGAGUUCAUCAGCCUCUAAAAUCAGUCUGCUGAGUUAAACCCUAAAGCUGUUGGUUUCUCUUGACCACAUAGUGAAGAAUUUGUUGGUUUCAAAGCAAUAACCUUUUAUUGAAGGUUAUCGAGAUUUGGAAUUGUGUCUUCCUGUGAAAAGAGCUCUGGCCCAGGUUGAAGACUGGCAGAGUGUUCAACAAGAGUGGGUUGUCACCCUGGGAGUAGUGUCUGCAAAGUAUUAAGAGAUCCCAGACUGGAAGACACAAUUCCAGAUGCCAAAUUGUUCCAGGCCAGCAAAUAUACAAGAUAGCACAGUCAGGUGUGUCCUAGUACUCUUUUUUAAAGCCAAAGUUAGUCUGCCUGUUUUCUGCUGUGCAGUAUCUGGCAAAGCAUUUGGGAGGUAGCCCAAAACCCACCCACCCAUUUACAGCUUGCAUGAGUCUUGUUUUGGUGCAGGAGGAGAACACAACAUCAACACCAACUGUUUCUUUGACUUUCAAGUUGUCAGUACUGCAGCACGCUACACAAACAAACUCCAUAAACUGGUGCUUUAUGCAGCUCAAACAAGCUACAGUCUUAGAUUAAAUUUAAUCUCUAGCUCUCUCAAAUGGUGCCUACUGGGGAUGAAUAGGUCCAUGGCAGGAUAAAGAGGUAGCUGACUUGCUGACGUGGCAUGGCAUGGCACAGUUUUCAGAUCCAGUUCUGCUGUAGGAAAAAAUUACAUAGAUUUGAUAAUUUCUUAUUGGCUGCUGUUCACAUCCUUGUUUUCUUUCAGUACUAACAAAUAACUUGUUUUGUCAGGUUUUUUUAACAUUUUCAUUUUUUAACAUUUUCUUUUUAACAU